CUGAGUCGUAAAAAACUCCCAACCCAUGUGAAUUUACCUUUGUUGCCUCGGCGGUACCCGCUCGGUGCUUUAUUAAAGUUGCCUUGUGGUUCCGCCGGUGGACUAUUCAACUCUUGUUAUUUUAUCGAAAUCUGAGCGUCUUAUUAAAUAAGUCA
rnacentral:misc_RNA from 1 species